CACACCAUAGCCAAAUUCUUGACUUUUCCCCUCGGUUUUCCCUUUAACGAAUCUAUUCGUUUUUUUAUCUUCCUUCCUUCGACAUUUACUUUUUAAAUCCAUCCAUUUCAUGGACUCUCUACUCUUUCCCUCUGCAUCCGAAGACGUCGACGACGUUUUUACCCUCUUCGAUCACUCCUUCUCCCCCCUCCAGCAACCAUCUUUGUCCAAUUCCACUGAACCCCUCUUCUUAGUCUCCUUCAGGUUAACUUUUUAACAUAUUUACCCUAAAAAUUAAUUGGGGGUAUUUGUUGAUUUUUUUUAUUUUGGUUUGUGUAGGCGGUGGAAGGAGGCUAGAGAGGCUGUGUGCAGUGGUGGUGACAGCGUUUUGUAUAAUGGGACGGCACAAUUGACAAGUUCUGGCGAGGAUGAGGAAAAGGAUGCGGGUAUGGGGGUGGGGGCGUAGGGAUUCGGAGAUUCUGGUGAGUAUGAAGAGAGAAGGGGAAGCAAACAUUAGUGAAGAAGAAAGGGUUUCAAGCAAGGGGGAUUUUGCAUUGGUGUCGGAGUGGAUGUUUUUGACAGCUCUUAAAUGGUGAGCGCCAGUUAUCAUUCAAAUUAGUUUAUUUUUUCGAAUCAUUUUCUCAGUGUGCUUAUGUAAUUAUGUAGUGAUUGGUUAAUUCUUAUACUUGUAGUUAUACUUAGUUUUUUAGGGUUGCAUUGAACUUCUCUUCCAUGCAAUUGAUGGAAGAGUAGAAAUGACCCAAGUUUGGUUCCAUUGUUAAAUGUUAAAUUUGAAGUUGUCUUCUGUUGAGUUUAUCUGUUAAGCUCUUGAUGAUUAAGUGCUUGUCAAUUGUCAUCGUGUUGCUCUAAAAACAAGAACCAAGUUUGAGCAAUUCAUAUGCAUGCCUGAACAACCAAAACUCAACUUCACAAUUUGGGUAGGAUUAUCUACAAUCUUAUUGCUAUAGACUUUAGGAAAAAAAAAAACAUUUGUAUUAAACCAUUUGAAUGAAUACUAUGAAGAAGCUCCUUUUUAGAAUGUGUAUUGAAAUUUUGUUGUUGACUGUAAGAUAAGCAAGGAGUUAUUAGGGAGGAUAUGUUUGUUUUAUUAUCUGUUUCUGUUUUACUAAGAUAUUUCUGCUGAACUUUUGAAUUUUGUUUUGAUAAAUUAAAUCAUGGGUCGGCGCUGAAUCUGCUGGAAAUGAAGUUCAAACUGAAAGUAUUACUUUCACAGCUAUGAUUUUCUUCAAAAUUGACUCUAUUUCUGUAGGAAUUGUUGCCUACGCAGUCAUGCCUCACCUGCCAUUUUUUAACUCUAAUCCUGUAUGUAUUAUUGCCUACGCAGACUUGCUUCACCUGCCAUGUUUUAACUAUAGUACAUAAAUAUGAAGAUUGCUGGCCAUAGUUCCAUUUCACCUUUGGUUAUGUUCCUCAUAAAGUCAGUGCCAUUUCCUGAGUCGGUCAUUAGACAACGGAGCAUGGUUCCUUUGCAGUUGUCGAUGCUGCAUUUGAGGAGCCCAUGACCUGAUAUUUGAUUUACUUUGCCCUUCCUUGUAGGCAUGAUGACUUGACGGGUGUGGAAACUAUUUUACCUGAUGAAGAUAGCACGCACGACCUGUUCUUUUUACAGAUCAGACUUUUGUGUGUGUUGGAAACAAAUUCAUUGGUUAUAAAGAUUAGUCAAAUGGUUCAUUACGAAUCGAUGCCCUUUUUCAUAAACUAUUCUAAAUAUUAGCUAUGGUGUGGAUCUUGUUGAUUCGUUGAUUGUGG
rnacentral:lncRNA from 1 species